GUUGGGCUGUUCGCCCAUUAAAGCGGCACGCGAGCUGGGUUUAGAACGUCGUGAGACAGUUCGGUCUCUAUCUGCUGUGGGCGUUAGAAAUUUGCGUGGAUCUGACUCUAGUACGAGAGGACCGAGUUGGACUGACCGCUGGUGUACCAGUUGUUUCGCCAGAAGCACUGCUGGGUAGCUACGUCGGGAAGGGAUAAGCGCUGAAAGCAUAUAAGCGCGAAACCCACCACAAGAUGAGAUUUCUUUAAAGGGUCGUGGGAGAUUACCACGUUGAUAGGAUACAGGUGUAAAGGCAGUAAUGU
rnacentral:rRNA from 1 species